rnacentral:lncRNA from 1 species
UUUUUUUUUGUAGGGUAAAAAGGAUGCAAGUGGAUUGUACGAUAAGCCUUUUCCGCACUACCACAGUUUGGGAGAGAUUUAUGCAAAAGAUCGUGCUAUGGGUGCAAAUGCUGGUAACGCUGAUGACGAUGAAGAAGAAGUUAGACUUGAAGAUGCCAAUGUCAAUCAACAUGAAGGUGAGGAUGAAAGUGGAAAUGACUUUGAUACUUCUUUCUCAGUACCAAAUACCCAACAAGAAAGGAAUGCAGAAAGUAACACAUCAAACAUUAGUCGCAAAAGGACAAGAGUAGCGGAUGAAAUGGCCAAGCAAUUCUCUAUUAUGGCUAAAGCUAUUGCCGAUGUGGGACCUAAGAUUGAUGGUCUAGUUCAUGCACUGUCAACCGAUAUAAAUCUGACCGAAAUGCAACAAAAAACUUGACAGUGAGUUGACCAAAAUGGAGUUUUUGUCUCCCAUGGAUUUAUUUAAAGUCACUAACUUCUUGGCCAAAGAACAUGACCUUUUGAGGGUGUUUUUCAACAUGUCUGAUGAAAGGAAGAGUGCAUAUGUGACUACUUUGUUGCAGACUUGGAUUCAUAACGACAUCUAAGUGAUGGUCCAAAUAAUGUGAAUGCUAGUUUUUUGCUAUGACGUGCUUACUGCCAUAAUGACAUAUCAGGGAAAAUUGUGAAUGUUUUGUAAAUCUAAUGACUUAUUAGAUGACACCAUAAUGGUGAAGAACUACUUUUUGUUGGUAUUAUGAUGUUUAGGCAGGUUAAGAAUAUUUUGUUGACAAUCUGAUGUGUAGGCAGGUUAUGAAUAUUUGAUAAUAUGAUGCAUACGCAGGGUAUGACAAGUUUGCUUAGGUUGGUUAUGGUGGUUAGAUAGAUGUACUUUAAUGUAAAAUAUUAACUUUAAUGAAGUUAUUUCCUACUCUUUGUUUGUUACUAAUAUUUUUUUCUUCAUUUAUUUACUAUUAUACAAAAUUCACCUCUUGAAGAUCACUUUAGUUCAAGGGGAAUCAAGUUUUUUGAUUUGAAAUGGUAAAACAAAAUUUCUUCUACUCCUUGACAUUAUGUAGCAAAAAUAUAUCUUUGAAGAGUUAAGACUGAAAAUGCUCCUAACAAUUUCUUUCCAUGUCCUUCUUGCUCAUUAAGCAUAAUUCUAUGCUCAUUCACAUUAUGCACAACCAGUGGCGGAGCCAGGAAUCUUACCACAAGGGGUCGUAGUGUAAAAGUCCAGAAAAAAAAUUUAGGAUGGAAAUGUUAAAGUUAAUGCUUUACUUAAACUGAUUAUGUGUAAAAGGGCUGACUGUUGCCUUUAUUAGUCGACCCAUUCUAUUUAUCAGUCGACCCAUUCUAUUUAUCAGUCGACCCAAUUACUUCAGUCGGCUUAUGUAUUGAACUAGGGCUGACUGUUGCCUUUAUCAGUCGACCCAUUCUAUUUAUCAGUCGACCCAUUCUAUUUAUCAGUCGACCCAAUUACUUCAGUCGGCUUAUGUAUUGAACUAAUUCUGUGUAAAAGGGCUGACUGUUGCCUUUAUCAGUCGACCCAUUCUAUUUAUCAGUCGACCCAUUCUAUUUAUCAGUCGACCCAUUCUAUUUAUCGACCCAUUCUAUUUAUCAGUCGACCCAUUUUAUUUAUCAGUCGACCUAGAGUAAAUUCAAUCGAUCUAAAGUAACUCCUAAAUACAUGCAGAAUCAGUUUGUUACUCAAUACAUAAUCAGUUUGUUACUUCAUGCAGAAUCAGUUUGUUACUCAAUGCAGAAUCAAUUUGUUACUUCAUGCAGAAUCAGUUUGUUACUCAAUGCAAAAUCAGUUUGUUACUAUUAUAUACUAUAUCAAAAAAUAUUAAAAAAAAGUAUAUAAAUAUUUUGAUUUGGGACAAGGGCAUUUUAGUAAUCAUACUGGUUUAUAUUCCGAUUCUGCUGAAUUAGUAAACAGCUUUAUGGAAUUGUAUUCCGAUUCCAGACAGUUUUAGUAAACAAUUUCAACAAGAAUCUGAUUCUGAUUCCACCUCAUUUCAAUUCAUCCUCAAUCAAAUUCCUCCUCAAUCCGAUUCCUCUCAAUUUGAUUACGGAUUAGUAAACGCGCCAUAAUAGUGGCCAAUACAUGCAACUUCAACAAAUACAAGUACAUAAGAUCUCCAUAAUUUAGAAAAUCCUAGUUAACAUUAGUUAACAUUAGCCAAAAUAGAUCUCUAUAAUUUACAAAAUGGCUAGUUAACAUAAGCCAAAAUACUAGUGCAAAGCUAAGUUAUAAGUCAUAACAUAAGAUUGUAUGAUUAAUAAAAUACAUCCAUGUUAACGUUAAUAAAAUACAUCCAUGUUAACAUUAGCCAAAAUCCUCAUCCGCUUGCGUUGUCGCUUAAAAGCCUUUGGACGAACACUUUCUUGAGUUCCGGUUUGAUUGCCCUGAACACUCCCACAUUUUUUGGUUUAUCCAAAAUAAAAGACAAUGCAUCAAUUUGAUCCAUAGGAGAGAGACCCAUUGCUUCAAGUUCAUUAGCUAUGUCAGUAUGAUCUGCAGUACCUUGAACUAAAGCUUCAGUUACCAUUUGCAUCCUCUUCCCACUUUCAAAUAUACAGGUGGCGUUGAACCCGAGGCAACAAAUAUACAGGUGGCGUUGAAAAAAAAAAAGUUUUCAUUAACCCGAGGCAACAAAUAUACAGGUGGCGUUGAAAAAAAAAACUUUUCAUUAACCCGAGGCAACAAAUAUACAGGUGGCGUUGAAAAAAAAAAGUUUUCAUUAACCCGAGGCAUCAUAUUCAAAAUGUUCUACUCUUAUACAUCUAUAAACAUGUGUCUAAGAACACUAGUAUGAGGAUUGCUAUCAUUGCUAGGCAUUGCAUGUGAAAAGGGAAAUUAAAGGACACCUGUAAUGCAGUAGCCUUAGCCUUAGCCUUCCGUUUAUGCUCCUCUUCUCUGCAACCAACAACCACAACAAAUUGCAAUUCAGCAUCAACCCCACACAAUACAAAACAUUCACAUUGUAUACACACUGCAUACAUACACACACUGCAAACACAGUACAUACAUACACACACUACAUACACUGCAUACACUACACACACACUACAUACACUACACACACACACUGCAUACAUACACACUGCAAACACAGUACAUACAUACACACACUCACAUACACUACACACACACACUACAUACACUACACACACACACCCUGCAAGUACACACACAUGCAUGCAUACAUACAUACACACACUGCAUACACCCUGCAUACACCCUGCAUACAUACACACUGCAUACACAGUACACAAACACACACACUGUAUACACCUUGCACACACAGUACACAAACACACACACACUACAUACACUACACACACACACUGCAUACACUACACACACACCCUGCAAGUACACACACAGUGCAUACAUACAUACACACCAUGCAUACACCCUGCAUACAUACACACUGCAUACACAGUACACAAACACACACACUGCAUACACCUUGCACACACAGUACACACACACUGCACACACACACACUGCAUACACACUCAUUCACACACACACUGCACACACACACACUGCACACACACUCACACUCACACUCACACUCACUCACACUCACUACAUACACUACACACACACACUGCAUACAUACACACUGCAAACACAGUACACUACACACACUACAUACACUGCAUACACUACACACAUACACACUUAUUCACACACACACUGCACACACACACACUGCUUACACACUGCACACACACUCACACUCACACUCACUCACACUCACUACAUACACUACACACACACACUGCAUACAUACACACUGCAAACACAGUACACUACACACACUACAUACACUUCAUACACUACACCCUGCAUACAUACACUACACACACACUGCAUACAUACACACUGCAAACACAGUACACUACACACACACACACUACAUACACUACACACACACACACUGCAUACACUACACACACACCCUGCAAGUACACACACACUGCAUACACCCUGCAUACAUACACACUGCAAACACAGUACAUACAUACACACACUACAUACACUGCAUACACUACACACACACUACAUACACUACACACACACACUGCAUACAUACACACUGCAAACACAGUACAUACAUACACACACUACAUACACUACACACACACACACACACUACAUACACUACACACACACACUGCAUACACUACACACACACCCUGCAAUACACACACAGUGCAUACAUACAGACACACACUGCAUACACCCUGCAUACACCCUGCAUACAUACACACUGCAUACACAGUACACAAACACACACUGUAUACACCUUGCACACACAGUACACAAAUGACACCGUAAUCUUAUAUUAUUACAUACGAAUCGAAUAAAUUCAAGAUACAAGAUCUUUGGACCAAUUUUAUGAAUCAAUAUUCUGUUAAACGUCCUUGAUUCGGUAUCAAUUUCCUAAGACACAUAAAGCAGAAUAAUAGAGCAACAGAGUAAAACCAGAACUCAAACUAAUCAAUCGUGCCUCAAGAAGAUCUCCCUAUUUAGAUCAUAUCACCAGAUUCACCACAUCCAUUUCUACCAAAUAUCACGAUGCAGACUAUCCGUUCCAAACCAUUAACGUAAUCCGAAUGAAACACUCAAAACCAAGAGCGAUGCACACAUCUAAACAUAAAGUUGAUAAAAAUCUCAACAUUAAAGAACCAUUUCAACUAUAUUGGCAUAGAAGAAAAACCAAACGUCUGUGUGUGUGUAUACAUAUGCAACUCAACCACUACAUUCCUCAUCGAAACUUUUGAUUCGUUUAUAAAAUUAAACAAACAACAAUUACCAAAAUCAAAUUAAUCCGAAUUCCAACUAAUAAACAACCUAAUCAAAUCAUACAUCGAUCAAGCAAACCAAUCAAAUCUCCACAAUUUCCAUCAAUAAUUUUCAAUCAAUGGAUUUGAUUAGAUCCAAUAAAUACCUAAACAGAUCCAACGAUGAUAUUGUUGAUGGGGAUGAAGAUCAGCUUGACGAAGAACCCGACGAAACCCAUCACGACGAACCCGAUCGCUGUCCGGAGCGCGACCUUGGAGAAUUCUACACGACAAUCAACCAUCAAAUCUCAUCAAUUACACAUGCAUAUCAAAGAAUAUAACUUGUGAGAAAACACAGAUCCGACCCGAAUGCUGAAUUACCUUUGCGAUCGGGCUUGUGACAGCGCUUGACGAGGCGAAUGCUGUCCUUGGAGAACUCUCGGAGCAGAUCUGUUACGUGAAGACGAGGGAGCGGACGACGAGAGGAACAGAUGAGGAGCAGGAUGCAGAUGAGGGCGACCAGGAUGCAGCUGACGGCGAGCAGGACGCAGAGAUGAGGAUGAGGAGGACGACGUGAGGGAGGAGGUCUUACGAAUCCGGACGUUUUUGGGGUGGUUCGCUAAGAACUGCUAGCGAAGGGUUUAAUCCGUGCGAGUCGGAUCUAAUCCCAUUAAACGUAAUCCUUGCCCCUACCAAACAUCAGACUACAAUACCAAUUAGUGUAGUCUAGUCCAGUCCCCCCUAAGAAGGUCAAACAAACACGCCCUAAGGGUAAUAUUAGGAAGACCAAAUUCUCAAACCAAAUUUUGUUAACCAAAUGAUGUGAUUAUUGAUGAUUGAAUUAUUACUAAAAUUCUGAUUAACCUAUUUACUUUGUAUUUGUGACAUAUCAUUUGGUUUACAAAUUUAAUUAAAAAUUAUUAUCCUCCUCGCAUUAUCCUUAACCUAAGUAUCGUGGCUCAUUUUCAUCCCAAACAUAUCUUUCCAAUCCUCUAGAAGUCAUCAAAAACAAAAUCACUUACUUUCCCAUCAAAAAGGAAAAGUAGUCGGGAAACUUAUCAACCACUCACAAAUGGCCAAUCCAUCGAUGGCUUCAACCUUUGUUUUCUAUUGAAACAAUCCUCAUCAUAAUAUAUUAAACAGAAGUUAUAAUUUUGUAAAUAGACAACGUAAAAAAUAAAAACCACAACAACUUAGUCACUAGUUUCUCAACCGUCGAAUCAGACCUUUACUUAGAAGGGAAUUGGAUCCUCUCUUGAGCAGGAGAUUAGGAUCUUCCUGACCCACUAACACAGGUCGUUGAAUCAAAAUCUAACGGCUACAAUUAUCAUAACUUUUAAAAAUACCUCAUGUUUAUAACCGUUGAAUCAAAAUUCAACAGUCCGCGUUAUUGGAUCAAGAGGAUCCUGAUCUCCUGCUCAGGAGAGGAUCCAAUUCCACUUAGAAGUGGCACAUAUGCAAUACAACUACAAGACAUAUAUUUUAGGGAUUAUUGAUGGACCACACAUGUAUUGUUGGCAGGUUGUCUCUGCAUGCUCACUGCUGACCGAUUCCUUCCUAAUAUUUGACUUGGAAACCACGAUAUAUUAUAGCUUGCUGUCUUCUGGAAGUAAUAUAAUAUUGAUAAAAUAAAAUGUUAGCAUCAACUAGGAGGAAUGCUGUGCAUGCAGACAUACCUGAUGUGGACGAGUGAAAGUACCAAGAAGAUGGGAUUACCGGCUUGCUCACCAAUGCAUGCAGGCAUAUCUUAGACUAGGCUUGGUCACCAAGAUAUCUAUGGCUUCUACGCACAUUGCUUCUCAGUGUGCAUCAAUGUGCAUGCAUGGACCACACCUGCUAGAAGCCUAGAAUGUAUAUAUUAGGAAUUUAGGAUUUAUAAAUGAUUUUGUUGUUGAAAUGUUUUGAUAUCCUAAUAAACCUCUAAAUUUAACGGAAAAAUAGAUAGAGUUAGUGAAAAGGAUCAAUAUAUGGAACAACAUACAGUUAAGUUUGAAAACUAAAGAAACUAAUAUGAGAGUUCAAGAACUAAAAUUAAAUUAGGGAUAAAAUUCAAGAACCAUUGCUACAAUUAAGCUCAAAAUUCCCAUAUAUGUUUUAUACAUUGAAAGAGAUAUUGGCCUAGAAAGAAGGGGAGUCGAUCACAAAAUUUUGAGUACUUGAAUAAAUUCGUUUAACCAAUUGACAUACAAACCCCUUGUAUUUAAAGAACAUAUAUGUCACAUGAGUAACGCUAGGGAGACCAAAUUUCUAAACAAAAUUUUGUAAACCAAAUAAUGUGGAUGUUGAUGAUUUGAUUACUACUUAAGUGUUGAUUAACGUGACACGUCAUUUGGUUUGCAAGAUCUUGCGCGACGAACAAAACGUCGCGCAAAAGGACUUUGCGUGACGUAGACAGGCGUCGCGCAAAACAACUUUGCGCGACGCUGAAGUUUCUACGUCGCGCAAAGAUAUUUUGCGCGACGUUUUGUGUUUUGCGUCGCGCAAACAUACUUUGCACAACGAAAUUUACUCCGUCGCGCAAGAUUUCGUCACGCAAACGUGUUUUUCUACUAGUGCUCAUUUGUACAUGUAAUAUCAGUUUCCUUACCAUAUAAUAUGAACCCUAACUUAGACUGCGUUUCAAAACAACGUUUGAAGCGACUGAAGUACUAGCAAGAAUACCUUGAAGACCACGCAAUGAAGGGAUAAGUUAACCAGUAAACAAGUUAACCAAGAAAUAAUUAAACUGUUAGCAAACGGCUUCACUGGGAUACGAUGCUGCUUAAUCAAAGUUAAUUUGAUUCCUAAACUUGACUAGUCUAUAUUCUUUCUGAUUAGUAGUUUUCUGGACUUCCUAUGCAUAAGGACAACAAGGACGAAUCCGACGCAAAUUUGUUUGACGAUAUAAGAUGUUACGACUUAUUUGGACUUUAAGAGUUGAACGCAAUAACUAGCUUUUGCUUUUUGAUCAACACAACAACACGUCUUUGAAGCCUCUUCAUACAUUCACACAAUUUGUCGUAUCUUCUUGAACUAUUAAACCAAAAGGAACCAAUUGAGCUUUCUUUCUAACAACGAAAUUUGAAAAGAAAAAAAAAAACAACGAGAUUAUUGUAAUAUUUUUGAACCUUCAUUCCUCUUAAUAAUAAUAAAUUUUAAAAAAACAACAAAACUUAUUUUAGCGUCAUGACUACAUUCUCACGUAGUAUUACUAAUUUCAAUUAAUAUAAGCUGACAGCAUAAUUGGUAAUUAAUAGACUUUGAGUAUAAUUUAUUAAUAAAUACACAUGUUAUAAGAUGAAUCGUUACUGUGUAAUACCACAUGACGGUAUGAUUGUCACCCAACGCACUAGAGUAAAUUCAAAAAGUUUGUUUUUCCCCUUCCUAAGACCUACUCUAACCCUUGAAGUAAAACUCAAAUUUUAGGUUUUAAACUUAUUCCAACUUGCUCCAACCCUUGGGGUAAAUAUGAGUUAAAAAUCAAAACUCAUUUUUGGGGCAAAUUUAGCCCAGGAUUAGUGGGGCUGACCCACUAUAUAUUUAUAUUUUUUUUAGUUUUAUAUUUAUAAAUUCAUUGAAUCCAACGGUUAAGAUCUAAUUUGAUGAAAUUCAAUGGUAAAAAAAAAUAUUUAACGGUCCAAGUUUAAAUUUAAUGGCUAAAGUAAUUUAAAAAAAAAUUCUUUUAUGUGUUUCAUAUUUUUUUCAUAGUGUUUAACAAGUUUUAUGAUGUCGGUUAGUGAUUUUUCAAUAUUUGUUAGAAUCUAAAUAUUUUUAGGUUAAAAUGUUCAUAAAAUUAAAUUAGGAUAGUCUACAUACUUUUUUUUCUUUUAAAAAAGUUAGUUUAAGAAAAAAAUUAGCCUAAAUUCAUUUUUUAAUAUGAGACUAAAUUUUUAAUUCAAAAUGAUUUGAGCAAAAAAACUGUUUUUGGGUUAAAACCUAAAAUUUUAUGGACUAAAAAUUUUAAGUUUUAACCCAAGGAUUGAAGAUGGUCUAAGGAAAAAAUAUGCCAUGAUGAUAUUACUGGACAUUGUUUUGACCUUAACUAACAAAUUUUGUUCGAGAAGUUGAAAACAGUGUUUAGCUAGAUCGAUUUUCAUUUCCCUCCAUAAAAUGUGGCAUUGAUUAUUGAUUAGACUGCUUGACUACAUUAUUGAUCAUUUUUAGGGACAAGGAUUGUCUACCCUCUUAUUUUUUGUGCCCUUCCAUGCCCUCCUGUUUUGUGUGGUCACGGUUAAGCCACGUUAACGUUUUAUAUUGUUUUUUUAUAGAGAUAAUAAUUAAGACAAAAAUGAAUAGUAAUAUAAAAUGUUGACGUGGCUUAACCGUGACCACACAAACAGGAGGGCAUGGGAGGGCACCAAAAAUAGGAGGGCAGACAAUCCUUGUCCCAUUUUUAGUGCUUUGAAGUAGGGCUGGGUGCAGUUGAAAAACCGUGCCAAAUUCCUUGUGCCACAUAUCAGCCACAUAUACAUAAUUACAAAAAAUCAAUUACCGCUAGCUAACCGUCUUUUUGCUGUUGCCAAAAAUCGGUUUAGCCAAAAUUAUUGUCUGGUUCGGUUGGUAAAUGGCACAACCGGUGGUUUCCACUUCUUCCUCACUAUCUUCUAGUUACAGAGGCUCAUUUUGAUUUUCAGAUUGGGGUGCUUGUUCUAUUGCAUUGUGUGGUUCAUUUUGGGUUAAUCCAUGUUGUGCACUAGCGGUUGAUUGGCUAGACUCCAUCAUCCUAAACAUAAGCAACACAUAUACAUUCAAAAUCAUAUAUAUGUACAUGUAUAUAUAGUAUCAGUAAUCAUCAUGCUAUCAAUUUUGUUAACAAUAUUUUCUAUAUUUAUUAUGGCAUGAAUCAUAUACAUAUACAUAUAUUUUUUAAACCCUAAAACUAAGGAGUCAACAGUCAAGCAUGUAAAAAAUAACUAAAAUAUCUAAAUAGAAAGGAAAAUAUAUAUAUAUAUAUAUUGGUAGGUAUGGCAUACCGCCGGCAUACAAAAUCAAUUACCAAAGCCAUGCCAUUAAUUGUCGGUUUGGUAAAAUGCCAACCGAUUAUAAAAAAAUGCCAAAACUAUAUACCAUACCAUUAUGAGCCAACCGGUAUGGUUCGGUCGGUAAAUCCGUUUAUGGCAAAAUUUUCCACCCCUACUUUGAAGUAUGCCAAAAAUCUAGAAUACGUAUUUUACUAUACAAUUAUCAAAUGAGACGGCCUAUGCGAAGGAAUUUAAGGUUCUACUAUAAAUUUAAUUGGCAAAAUGAAGAGUAGCAUAAUUUGUUUAUAAGUUCAUACAAAGUCCUUUUAUUAAUGUGAGAUUUAUUCUCAAUACCAUACAUUAUGGAUACAAGUCACACAUACCCCCCGACCCGUCCUCAUAUUAUACCUUCAUAACAUAUAAUAAAAAAAUACUAAUUAAAAAAAUCUCAUAUUAUUCUCCAUCAAUUAAUGUUAUAGGAGUGAUGAUUCUUGUCGGAUUCUCUUUGUGACAAUUUUGGGAAUCUUCAAAUCACAUAUGUUCAUCAUACAUCAUGAGGUCAAAAAUUAUUGUAAUUUUUUUAUUUAAAAUUGAAUAUAAACAAUAUCUAACAAAAACUAGUUGCACGAUGUACGAUUAACGGAUGUGAUUGAAAAAUUCCCGAAAUUCUCUCAAUGAGUAUCAAGAAAUAAUCCUCUCUCAUGUUAUAGUUCGUGAAUAUAUUAUUAUAUAUUAUUGUUUUAUUUUUUAUUUUUAGUUUUCUUAAGUCACGGGUGUCUCCCUUCUUAGGGUGCAUUAUUAUUAUUUAAUCAAAUAUCCAUAUUAUAAAACAAAAAAUAAUAAUAUUAUAAGUUGAUGGGACCAUCCUACAAAAAUUAUAUAUUUUAGCUAGAACACAUAAUAAAAAAUAAUCUGCGAUGAUCUCUUUGUAAUUUAGUUAUUCCUAAGAAAUACAUGAUCAAUCACUUUUAAAUUUGCUAUUAAAAGUAAAAAUUAAAAUCUACAGGUUAAGUGAUCAUCAAUUUUUAAUCACCAAGCAACUAGAAAAUCAACAUAAGCUCCUAAGUUUGAUUGUAUUUCUUUUGUUCAUGUUUUUACAUAAGACAGUUUUGUGGCAGAGAUAAAUUAACAGAUUUAGAGCAUAAUUAAGCAUCUUCAAAUCGUGUUUGGCUUGAUUUUAUUCCUUAACACUUUAACUUUUCUAUAGGUUGUCCUAGACGCUUUUAUAUUUUAUUUUAUCUUACAAAACAAACAAACCAUAUCAUCAUCUUGGUGUAGGCUAGCUACGAAGCCUCCUCCUCCUCUAUGUUGACCCAAAAGGAAUGAACCAUGCGGUGACGAGAAAAAUAGCCCUCAUAGAUAUAAACAAACACAAACAUUUCCAGAGCUGUCGCCGGUCUUGGGUGCCAAGAUUAGCCAAUCUAGCGGCACAUUGCCUUACGUCGGUUGGUUUUUUGGAGAUGUGUGACUGUGUUUGGGUCGACCGGCCCCCAUCUUCGAUGAUUCAUGUUUUGAAUAAGGAUGGUUUCCCAUGUCUUCAUUGAGAGGUGGUGGCGAUGCUAGGGGUGAUGCGUCUUUGCUUGUAUCCUUUUCAUCUCUGUUCUUUUAGUUGUGCCUUGUUGGGUGUUUGCCUCCUUGUAGGCUUUCUUGUACCUUUUGGCUUCGGCCUUGGAAUGCAUUUCCUUGUUCCAAACAAAAAAAAAAAAAAAAAAAAAAAAAACACACACAAACAUCCAAACAAAGAACCAUAAGAAAAUAUCAUCCCAUUGAACCCAUCUAGAAGACUUCAACACAAAGUCCCCCCUCCCAACCUUUUUUAUUGGGUAAUGUCAAGGAAACUGAAUUUGUAGACAAAAUUUUAUAAAUUAAAAGGAAAACUAAUAAAAAUGGCUUGAUAAAUUUGAGUUUUAACGAUAAGAACAAGGGUAAAGUGAAUAGUACUAGAAUUGACUUUUUAGUUUUAAGAUGUGGUUUUUCGUUAAAGUGAACAGUACCGAGAGCUUUUCGUUAAAGUUUCCUAAGUUAAAUGAUAUGAAAGUUAAUAAUUAAAUUAUUACUUAAACGUUAAUAAACAUAUUCAUUUAUAUUAAUAACACAUCAUUUAAUUUGUAAAUUUUAUUUAUAAAUUUAAUUUCCUAUCGUUAUCGUUUUUAUUUUAUUAUUUUCCACAUAGCCUGCUUUUCUAGAAGAGCAAGUAAAUUCAAGAAUACUGUCACACCGUCUUAUUUUCUUACGUGACUUUCCGUCUAACAGUCUGCUCCUUUUAACCUUUUAUUUAUUUUUUAUUUUUAAUCCACUAUUUUUCUAUUUUCUUUUGUGACUUUCCAUCUAGAAGCCAAUAAGUCAUCCCUAUCAAAAGUUCAAAACUUAACCCACAAAAGGCUCAAAGAAUCCCAAUUUAAUAUAUGAAUAUGCUCACUUGUGAGCCUCUUAUAUAUAUUUGGGUACUUCUGGUUCUCUCUCUUCACAAACCACAACAAACCCAGCUCAGUAGAUCACUGUUGGACGUCCCAAAAAAUGGUUGCCCUAGUAACCCAGCAAAACCCAGCACCUCUAGGAGAAAAGGAAGAACAAUUCCAAGACCAAGAUCCCUACGAAGCUGAGGAAACCCUAUCUCUCUGCGAUCUCCCCAGACACAGUGACUCAGCUUGUUGGGAUGACUUCUCCAAAGACUACCAAAGCUCAUCGUUCGACCGCGACGAAGACAACUUCUUUGAGUUCUUCAGCGAGGAGUUCACCCCCUCGACGUACCCAGCAGAGAAGGACAUAAUCUUUUGUGGAAAACUCAUACCCUACAACAAAGAAGCACCAAAAUUUGCAGCAGAAAAAGGUCAUCAGAAGAUCAAGAGCCAAGAAACCGGAAGCAACGCGAGAAGCGUCAACUUUUCGAAGAAGAAAGGAUUUUUUAGGUCGUGGAGGUCUUACCACUUCCACAAGGUAACCAAACCCUCCAAAACGGCCAAGACUUCGAAGCCGGAAAGUCCCACACCGACAAGUUACAGAAAGUGUGAGGUGAAUAAAGUGUCUAUACUUUCCAAAACGCCGUCGAAGUCUAAGUGGUAUGUUUUGAUGUUUCAAAUGGCGAGGCUUCCGUCGGAGAUGGAGCUGAAAGACAUAAAAAACCGGCAGAGCCGGCGGAGCCCUUCGACAAUGUUUAGGUCCUUUGAUGAAGAGAGUGAUGAGAUUGCCGGGGCUAAGGGUACUAAGGGAAUUAAAAGUGAUGGUAAUAGUAGGACAAAGGGGUUGUGGGGGCUGUUGAGGGCGGCGGUGGGGUGUGGCAGCCCACAUGCAGACGCCGUUGUAAGGGAAGGCCUUCUUUAUUAGCUGGUGUCAGUUCGAGUUGCCGAAUUUUGAUUGGUGCUCAGCUCACACGUGCGGGAUUUCUUAGGUAGCCCAGAUUGACCUUGCAAUCUUAAUUUGUGGGAUGUUCAUUGUAUUAUACACAUGGGGAGGAUAGGAGAAUAUUAUGAGGAAGCAUAUAUAAGAUAGUGACUUAUAUAACCAAAUUUUCGCAAUAUUAGAAUCCUACAUUUUGUAAUUUUAUUUUUUUGUAAUUGGAUGAAUGAAUAUGACUAAUUGGAACCCCAUAACUAAGAGUAUGAUUAACAUUACAUUUAUUUUGUUGUCUAACAAUGGCAAUUGUGUAGGAGACGUAGAUCAUGGCAGUGUGUUCACCCUCCUGCACUCAAAUUUUGAAUUCCUAAUAUCUACAAAUUAGAGUAGUUUAAAAUAUGAGUAUUGUUUAAAAAUUGGUGAUUGACAUAAUUUGGCUGAAAUACUUGAUUCAAGGGUCAUGUAUAAUUUGGUGCCAUAUAAUGGGUGAGAUCCAAAGAGGAUCUAUUUCCCCCUUCAUUCAUCUUCUCAGGCAAAAGAAUACAGGGCUGAAGUACUUGUUCCGAACAAAUCGAGGAUCUCGUCGAGGAUUUAGCCCCACUGCAUGCUCUGACGCUGAAAAGAGGUUUAGCCCCAACCAGCUGGCUAUGAAGAUUCGAACCCAGACAUCAAAAAAGAAUUCCAAAGUCUUGCCCACCGAACCAACAUCUCAUAGUACCAAAGACAAAAUCUUCAUCGACCAAUUCUAAAAAUAUUAGGAGCUAAUCAGGCGGUUGGCGGAGUCUAGCGUCCAUCUAGAAAGAUUAUGUGGAUUUAAGUAAAUUUAUUAUACAUCGUAUAAAUAAGUUCUUAUUUAUACUUAAAAAGAUACAUAAUUGUAUUGGGAUACGUAAAUUGCAUAAUAUAAUGAACUAUAAAUUGCAAAGUAUUAAAAUAUAGGGAAUUGAUAUUAGCACUCUAAAAAUAUCAUUCAACACUCCAAACUUUCUAUAUUAAGAAAGAAAAAUACACUUGCGGGUGUAAAAUGAGAUUUUUGGAGUGCCAAUAACACUUCCCAAAAUAUAUUGAGAACAUGGGAAACAAUCGUAUAAUAAGUAAGAGUCACAACCUAGGCACCCUUGCUUAAUUCUCUGUAUAAGUGAGAGUAGCAACCUAGGCGGGCUACGCGAAUGCCUAAGCAAGUCUAGGCACCCUUUCUUAAUUUUUAAAACCCUAGGGAUUAAUCGGGGUGGUGAUCCACUGCCUAGCUCCUAAAUGGGGCCUAAGCAGCGCUAGGUAGGAAUUUUUAGAACAAUACCUUAUACCUCUAUAUGAACAGAGAUGAAGGAAAUAACAAUGUGUCUUGAUAAUUUUUUCUCUUGUUCCAUAGCUUGAUUGAAGGAUCUGGCUCUAAGUUAAUACUUUAAAAACAGACUUGAUGCCCUUUAAUUUAAAUUAAACAAUAUUUGCAAAUAACGCGUUAUGUGUGCCUAAAUACACAUAAAUACGUGAUUUAUUAUAAUAAUUUCAUAAUAAUUAUGUACCACAGAUUGGUAGUGGCAUUUCGUAUCGGCUUAUAAUUUAUAUAUGCCAAGUGCCGGCCUUCUUUUCCUUUUCUACUUUGCUUUUUUCUAGAACCAAAGACUGCAAGGCAAUACAUACAUACAUACAUAUACGAACUUAAGACAUCGUCCAGCAUUUGGCAUUUGGCAUUCGGAAGAAAAACACCGUUUUAAAAAGCAAUAGAAAAAGAUAUAAGAAGAAAUGUUUUCUCAUUAGCAAUGGGAGUUCACCUCUGCAUGUACGUUAAACAAAACUUUCCUCAUAACAUUACAAGCAAAGCAACAGCCUAUAUGUGUUUGUUGAUAUAGGGAACACUGACCUAAUAUGUCUGGUUCUGCAAUAAGAUAUCUAUAAGCUUAAAUGACUACAUCAAAACUGGAAAUGAUUACCAGAAGGAUCAAAAUUUGCUCGGCGAAUCUGAUGAGGGUUCAGGAAUUGGUCAUUUCAGAACGAUUUACGAUUCAGACUUUUCUUCUCUCCUCAUCUUUCCUUGUCUGUCACCAUUUAUAGACGCAUUGGCUUUUCUUUUCUCCGAAUGUUUACCAUUGGCACCUGCCUUGUCAUUUUGAGGCUGCUUUCUUUUCUUUCCUUGGCUGCCGCCAUUAGUAGACGCGUUGGCCUUUCUUUUCUCCGAGUGUUUACCAUUGGCACCUUCAGUUACCUUGUCAUUUUGAGGCCGCUUUGUUUUCUUUUGUGUUUUCUUGUUGAUUUUCUCCGCUUCAGAGAACU